rnacentral:rRNA from 1 species
CUCGUAGGCGGUUUGUCACGUCGUCUGUGAAAUCCUAGGGCUUAACCCUGGACGUGCAGGCGAUACGGGCUGACUUGAGUACUACAGGGGAGACUGGAACUUCUGGUGUAGUGGUGGAAUGCACAGAUAUCAGGAAGAACACCGAUGGCGAAGGCAGGUCUCUGGGUAGUAACUGACGCUGAGGAGCGAAAGCAUGGGUAGCGAACA